rnacentral:tRNA from 1 species
UCGGGGCGUAGCGCAGUCCGGUAGCGCACCUGGUUUGGGACCAGGUGGUCGCAGGUUCGAAUCCUGUCACCCCGACCCA